rnacentral:pre_miRNA from 1 species
CUUUGGUGAUUCAGCUUAAAUGAUAGAAUUCAGACGUCUUCAUAAAGCUAGGUUACCAAAGCU